rnacentral:tRNA from 1 species
GGGGGUGUAGCUCAGUGGUAGAGCAUUUGACUGCAGAU